AAAUUGAAGAGUUUGAUCAUGGCUCAGAUUGAACGCUGGCGGCAGGCCUAACACAUGCAAGUCGAACGGUAACAGGAAGCAGCUUGCUGCUUUGCUGACGAGUGGCGGACGGGUGAGUAAUGUCUGGGAAACUGCCUGAUGGAGGGGGAUAACUACUGGAAACGGUGGCUAAUACCGCAUAACGUCGCAAGACCAAAGAGGGGGACCUUCGGGCCUCUUGCCAUCAGAUGUGCCCAGAUGGGAUUAGCUUGUUGGUGAGGUAACGGCUCACCAAGGCGACGAUCCCUAGCUGGUCUGAGAGGAUGACCAGCCACACUGGAACUGAGACACGGUCCAGACUCCUACGGGAGGCAGCAGUGGGGAAUAUUGCACAAUGGGCGCAAGCCUGAUGCAGCCAUGCCGCGUGUAUGAAGAAGGCCUUCGGGUUGUAAAGUACUUUCAGCGGGGAGGAAGGUGUUGUGGUUAAUAACCGCAGCAAUUGACGUUACCCGCAGAAGAAGCACCGGCUAACUCCGUGCCAGCAGCCGCGGUAAUACGGAGGGUGCAAGCGUUAAUCGGAAUUACUGGGCGUAAAGCGCACGCAGGCGGUCUGUCAAGUCGGAUGUGAAAUCCCCGGGCUCAACCUGGGAACUGCAUUCGAAACUGGCAGGCUUGAGUCUUGUAGAGGGGGGUAGAAUUCCAGGUGUAGCGGUGAAAUGCGUAGAGAUCUGGAGGAAUACCGGUGGCGAAGGCGGCCCCCUGGACAAAGACUGACGCUCAGGUGCGAAAGCGUGGGGAGCAAACAGGAUUAGAUACCCUGGUAGUCCACGCCGUAAACGAUGUCUACUUGGAGGUUGUGCCCUUGAGGCGUGGCUUCCGGAGCUAACGCGUUAAGUAGACCGCCUGGGGAGUACGGCCGCAAGGUUAAAACUCAAAUGAAUUGACGGGGGCCCGCACAAGCGGUGGAGCAUGUGGUUUAAUUCGAUGCAACGCGAAGAACCUUACCUGGUCUUGACAUCCACAGAACUUUCCAGAGAUGGAUUGGUGCCUUCGGGAACUGUGAGACAGGUGCUGCAUGGCUGUCGUCAGCUCGUGUUGUGAAAUGUUGGGUUAAGUCCCGCAACGAGCGCAACCCUUAUCCUUUGUUGCCAGCGGUCCGGCCGGGAACUCAAAGGAGACUGCCAGUGAUAAACUGGAGGAAGGUGGGGAUGACGUCAAGUCAUCAUGGCCCUUACGACCAGGGCUACACACGUGCUACAAUGGCGCAUACAAAGAGAAGCGACCUCGCGAGAGCAAGCGGACCUCAUAAAGUGCGUCGUAGUCCGGAUUGGAGUCUGCAACUCGACUCCAUGAAGUCGGAAUCGCUAGUAAUCGUGGAUCAGAAUGCCACGGUGAAUACGUUCCCGGGCCUUGUACACACCGCCCGUCACACCAUGGGAGUGGGUUGCAAAAGAAGUAGGUAGCUUAACCUUCGGGAGGGCGCUUACCACUUUGUGAUUCAUGACUGGGGUGAAGUCGUAACAAGGUAACCGUAGGGGAACCUGCGGUUGGAUCACCUCCUUACCUUAAAGAAGC
rnacentral:rRNA from 13 species